ensembl:lncRNA
GGUAGGAGAGCGUGAAAGGCUGGAGGAGAGGGGAUCUGAAGGAGGGUGGAGGAGAGGUGAUCUGAGGGAGGGUGGAGGAGAGGUGAUCUGAAGGAGGGUGGAGGAGAGGUGAUCUGAGGGAGGGUGGAGGAGAGGUGAUCUGAAGGAGGGUGAAGUGAGGAGGCCUUAACCUGGGGUACUCCACCCUUACCUAGGGGACUCAACCCUAACCUAGGGGACUCCACCUUAACCUGGUGGACUCCACCCUUACCUAGGGGACUCCACCCUAAACUGGGGGACUCCACCCUAAACUAGGGUACUCCACCCUAAACUAGGGGACUCCACCCUCCCAGCCGUGUCUUCUCCGUCACCCCAGCCGGGACCACGUCUCUCCUCCAGCUGCUGAUCAGCUGGGAGUGUUGGUGAGGAUGAGGAGGAUAAUGGGGAUGAUUUAAGGACUUGUUAUUGGAUGAAGAGGGACCUCCAUGGAAGGAGUCGGCGUGUUCACUCAUGUCCCCUGGAUCUGGCCCCGCCCGGGGGAGAGAAGAGAGGGAGGAGAACUAUAGA